UACGAAGGGUGCAAGCGUUACUCGGAAUUACUGGGCGUAAAGCGUGCGUAGGUGGUUUGUUAAGUCUGAUGUGAAAGCCCUGGGCUCAACCUGGGAACGGCAUUGGAAACUGGCUUACUAGAGUGCGGUAGAGGGGUGUGGAAUUCCCGGUGUAGCAGUGAAAUGCGUAGAUAUCGGGAGGAACAUCUGUGGCGAAGGCGACACCCUGGACCGAAAUUGACGCUUAAGCGCGAAAGCUAGGGGAGCAAACGGG
rnacentral:rRNA from 1 species